rnacentral:RNase_P_RNA from 1 species
GGGAGUGGGCGGCUGACCAACGGUUGGCCCCGCUUCUAAUGCGAGGUUAUCAACUGAGGAAACUCCCCUCUUGUACGACGGCGGGGAAGGGACAGAAGUCCCCGGCGCGAGAGUGCCGACGAAGGCGCAGAAACGACACAGCCCGCAAGGAGGAUGAAGGUGGUUGCACCGGACGUUCUUGCGGGAUUUGGUGAAACGGCCAUUCGCCCCAAGCAAGUCCAAAUGUCGGGAUACGGUUGCCGUUGUCCGCCCGUAAGUAGGACGCUAAGUAGAAUGUCAGCAGCGCAUGGGUUUCCCGUGCGUGAACAGAAAGGGGGUUAUGACCUACACCC